rnacentral:rRNA from 1 species
UGAGGAAUAUUGGUCAAUGGGCGCAAGCCUGAACCAGCCAUGCCGCGUGCAGGAUGACGGUCCUAUGGAUUGUAAACUGCUUUUGUACGGGAAGAAACACUCCUACGCGUAGGGGCUUGACGGUACCGUAAGAAUAAGGAUCGGCUAACUUCUGUGC